CCUACGGGUGGCAGCAGUGGGGAAUAUUGGACAAUGGGGGCAACCCUGAUCCAGCCAUGCCGCGUGUGUGAAUAAGGCCCUCGGGUUGUAAAGCACUUUCAGUGAGGAAGAACGCCUGGUGGUUAAUACCCAUCAGGAAAGACAUCACUCACAGAAGAAGCACCGGCUAACUCCGUGCCAGCAGCCGCGGUAAUACGGAGGGUGCGAGCGUUAAUCGGAAUUACUGGGCGUAAAGCGCGCGUAGGUGGCUUGAUAAGCCGGUUGUGAAAGCCCCGGGCUCAACCUGGGAACGGCAUCCGGAACUGUCAAGCUAGAGUGCAGGAGAGGAAGGUAGAAUUCCCGGUGUAGCGGUGAAAUGCGUAGAGAUCGGGAGGAAUACCAGUGGCGAAGGCGGCCUUCUGGACUGACACUGACACUGAGGUGCGAAAGCGUGGGUAGCAAACAGGAUUAGAUACCCCAGUAGUC
rnacentral:rRNA from 1 species